rnacentral:sRNA from 1 species
CCCUAGCCCAGAUAAAAGUGGAAAUCCUUGUGAGCCGGGGUUCGGCGAAUAAGAUUGCAGCGGAUAGCUGGAAAUUGC